GUGGGGAAUCUUCCACAAUGGACGAAAGUCUGAUGGAGCAACGCCGCGUGAGUGAAGAAGGUUUUCGAAUCGUAAAGCUCUGUUGUCGGGGACGAAUGUUGAGACCGAGAAUAUUGGUUUCAAAUGACGGUACCUGACGAGGAAGCCACGGCUAACUACGUGCCAGCAGCCGCGGUAAUACGUAGGUGGCGAGCGUUGUCCGGAAUUAUUGGGCGUAAAGGGAGCGCAGGUGGGAAAGUAAGUCUGUCUUAAAAGUGCGGGGCUCAACCCCGUGAUGGGAUAGAAACUAUUUUUCUUGAGUGCAGGAGAGGAAAGCGGAAUUCCUAGUGUAGCGGUGAAAUGCGUAGAUAUUAGGAGGAACACCAGUGGCGAAGGCGCCUUUCUGGACUGUGUCUGACGCUGAGAUGCGAAAGCCAGGGUAGCGAACGGGAUUAGAAACCCGGGUAGUCC
rnacentral:rRNA from 1 species